CGCCAGACUCCUACGGGAGGCAGCAGUGGGGAAUAUUGCACAAUGGGGGAAACCCUGAUGCAGCGACGCCGCGUGAGUGAAGAAGUAUUUCGGUAUGUAAAGCUCUAUCAGCAGGGAAGAAAGAAGACGGUACCUGACUAAGAAGCCCCGGCUAACUACGUGCCAGCAGCCGCGGUAAUACGUAGGGGGCGAGCGUUAUCCGGAUUCACUGGGUGUAAAGGGAGCGUAGACGGCUGUGCAAGCCAGAUGUGAAAGCCCGGGGCUCAACCCCGGGACUGCAUUUGGAACUGUGUGGCUGGAGUGUCGGGGAGGCAGGCGGAAUUCCUAGUGUAGCGGUGAAAUGCGUAGAUAUUAGGAGGAACACCAGUGGCGAAGGCGGCCUGCUGGACGAUGACUGACGUUGAGGCUCGAAAGCGUGUGGAGCAAACAGGAUUAGAUACCCGGGUA
rnacentral:rRNA from 1 species